rnacentral:rRNA from 1 species
UACGUAGGGGGCAAGCGUUGUCCGGAAUCAUUGGGCGUAAAGAGCGUGUAGGCGGCCCGAUAAGUCCGCUGUGAAAGUCCAGGGCUCAACCCUGGAAUGCCGGUGGAUACUGUCGGGCUCGAAUCCGGAAGAGGUGAGUGGAAUUCCUGGUGUAGCGGUGAAAUGACGCAGAUAUCAGGAGGAACACCAAUGGCGAAGGCAGCUCACUGGGACGGUAUUGACGCUGAGACGCGAAAGCGUGGGGAGCAAACAGG